rnacentral:rRNA from 1 species
AUGAUGCACGGACCAUGUGGUGAGGCAAAUCCAAAGUCACCCUGCAUGGAAAAACGUAUGUGAAGUAAGUACUUUCCAAAAGAAUUCUGUGAUGAGACGGUCGUUGAUGAAGACAACUUCCCAAGAUACAGGAGACGGGAUAAUGGCCGACAAAUAGAUAAGGGGGGAGUCAAGUUGAACAACGGAUUUGUUGUCCCAUACAACAAAGAUCUCCUGGUAAAAUUUCAAGCACACAUAAAUGUGGAGUUGUGUAACCAAUAUAUGCCAAUCAAAUACCUCUUUAAGGAUAUCCGCGAAGGAGAUAACCAAGCAACAGCAAUGGUUGAAGAAAAAGACCAAUCAAAAAACAACGAUGAGAUUAAAAUGUACCUUAGAUGCAGAUACAUAACAGCAACUGAAGCAUGCUGGCGAAUAUUCAAGUUUCCUCUGCGGUACCAGGAACCAUCUGUUCAGAGGCUAUUGUUCCACCAGGAAAACAAGCAACAGGUAAUUUUUCCGGACUCAACAAACCUAGAUGAAAUAAUACAGCGCCCAAGAUCAGGUGUCACUAUGUUUACUGAGUGGAUGGAGAUGAACAAAAAGCAUGAAGAUGCCAGAGAACUAACAUAUGCAGAGUUUCCUACACAAUGGAGAUGGGUUAAGAAAGAAAAGAAGUGGACAAGGCGAAGAAGAGGAAAGAAAAUUGGCAGGAUCUACAAUGCACAUCCUGCAAGCGGUGAAAGGUACUAUCUCAGAGUUCUCCUCAACACUGCAAAGGGUUGCAUGACAUUUGAAAACAUCAGGACUGUCAACGGAGUCGUCCACUCAUCAUACAAAUCAGCAUGUCAUGCGCUAGGGCUUCUUAAGGAUGACAGGGAGUGGAUUGAGUGCAUCAAGGAAGCAUCCGAAUGGGCAUCUGGGGUGCAACUACGGCAAUUGUUUGCAACUAUUUUGUGCUACUGUGAGGUUACUGACCCAAGGAUGCUAUGGGAAUCCAACUGGGAGGCACUCUCUAAAGACAUACAGCACACACCAAGCUGGAUCACGUACUUCCCAACCCCCUUCACUCCUUCACACAAUAGAAAAUGCACUUUAAUCGAAACUGAGAAGAAAAUGGGACAAGCCGGAAAGUCACUAAAGGAAUACCCUGGAAUAGAGCUACCAAACAUGCCCGAGUUAAAUGGAACUGGGAACAGGCUUAUAAAUGAGGAAAUGAACUACAACAAGGAUAAGUUGAAGGCUGAACACGUGCAAGUAGUGAACAAUCUAAAUUUAGAUCAGAAGAAGGCCUUUGAUGCAAUAAUAGAGUCAGCGGAUCAAUCAUUAGGGAAAAUGAUAUUUGUGGAUGGCUAUGGCGGGACAGGUAAGACAUACCUUUGGAAAGCUAUCACUACAAGGCUACGAUCGGAGGGAAAAAUUGUACUCGCAGUUGCAUCAUCUGGCGUCGCAGCGCUUCUGCUUCAAGGAGGUAGAACAGCACACUCAGCAUUCAAUAUUCCAAUCAACCUGACAGAUCAAUCUACAUGCUACAUCAACCAAGGUUCCGAGUUGGCUGAUUGUGCUCGUUUUCUUUGA